rnacentral:rRNA from 1 species
AUGCUCUUUUUUUAUGCUGGUCCUAUGUCAUGGGUAUGGCAAGCACCAUUUUGUUGGUUCCUGUCUUGCCAAUGUCUACAGCAAUGUGUGUGUCCUCUAUCUCAUCUGUGGCAUUACCGUAGGGCAACUCAUAAUGGGCCUAUCAAGCAUACUGACCCUGUGAUGAUAGAUAAAGAGGUUGAUUUCAGUGCCAUUCUGAUAAAUAUAUUUUUAGCCCUAUGA